rnacentral:rRNA from 1 species
CCUACGGGAGGCAGCAGUGGGGAAUAUUGGGCAAUGGGCGCAAGCCUGACCCAGCAACGCCGCGUGAAGGAAGAAGGCUUUCGGGUUGUAAACUUCUUUUCUGGGGGACGAAGAAAGUGACGGUACCUCAGGAAUAAGCCACGGCUAACUACGUGCCAGCAGCCGCGGUAAUACGUAGGUGGCAAGCGUUAUCCGGAGUUAUUGGGUGUAAAGGGCGUGUAGGCGGGCAAGCAAGUCAGAUGUGAAAUCUCGGGGCUCAACCCUGACCCUGCAUUUGAAACUGUUUGUCUUGAGUGCUGGAGAGGCAAUCGGAAUUCCGGGUGUAGCGGUGAAAUGCGUAGAUAUACGGAGGAACACCGGUGGCGAAGGCGGAUUGCUGGACAGUAACUGACGCUGAGGCGCGAAAGCGUGGGGAGCAAACAGGAUUAGAUACCCGAGUAGUC